UCAGUGCAUCACAGAACUUUGUCU
rnacentral:ncRNA from 9 species